GACGUAGGAUGCAAGCGUUGUCCGGAAUUAUUGGGCGUAAAGAGCUCGUAGGCGGUUUGUCGCGUCUGCUGUGAAAACUCGGGGCUUAACUCCGGGCCUGCAGUGGGUACGGGCAGACUAGAGUGCGGUAGGGGAGACUGGAAUUCCUGGUGUAGCGGUGAAAUGCGCAGAUAUCAGGAGGAACACCGGUGGCGAAGGCGGGUCUCUGGGCCGUAACUGACGCUGAGGAGCGAAAGCGUGGGGAGCGAACAGG
rnacentral:rRNA from 1 species